AACGAACGCUGGCGGCGUGCUUAACACAUGCAAGUCGAACGAGAAAGGGCCCUUCGGGGUCUGAGUACAGUGGCGCACGGGUGAGUAACGCGUAGAUAACCUGUCCUGGUGUUUGGGAUAACCCACCGAAAGGUGGACUAAUACCGGAUACGCCUGUUGAUCGGAAGAGAUACAGGGAAAGAUGGCCUCUGAUUCAAGCUAUCGCACGGGGAGGGGUCUGCGUACCAUUAGCUGGUUGGUGGGGUAAUGGCCUACCAAGGCGACGAUGGUUAGCGGGUCUGAGAGGAUGAUCCGUCACACUGGCACUGAAACACGGGCCAGACUCCUACGGGAGGCAGCAGUGAGGAAUAUUGCGCAAUGGGGGAAACCCUGACGCAGCGACGCCGCGUGAGUGAGGAAGGCCUUCGGGUCGUAAAACUCUGUCAGAAGGGAAGAAAUGCAGUGAGGCUAACACCCUUGCUGUUUGACGGUACCUUCAGAGGAAGCACCGGCUAACUCCGUGCCAGCAGCCGCGGUAAUACGGAGGGUGCGAGCGUUGUUCGGAAUCACUGGGCGUAAAGGGCGCGCAGGCGGUUUGGUAAGUCAGAUGUGAAAGCCCACGGCUCAACCGUGGAAGUGCAUUUGAAACUGCCAGACUUGAGUACCAGAGGGGAAAGUGGAAUUCCCGGUGUAGAGGUGAAAUUCGUAGAUAUCGGGAGGAAUACCGGUGGCGAAGGCGGCUUUCUGGCUGGAUACUGACGCUGAGGCGCGAAAGCGUGGGGAGCAAACAGGAUUAGAUACCCUGGUAGUCCACGCCGUAAACGAUGUCAACUAGGUGUUGGGGGUGUUGAUCCCCUCGGUGCCGGAGCUAACGCAUUAAGUUGACCGCCUGGGGAGUACGGUCGCAAGAUUAAAACUCAGAGGAAUUGACGG
rnacentral:rRNA from 1 species